rnacentral:rRNA from 1 species
CUCAAAGACGAUGAGGUAGAUAGGUUCGGGGUGGAAGCGUGGCGACACGUGCAGCUGACGAAUACUAAUCGAUCGAGGACUUAACCA